AUUAAUUAUUAUUGGAAACAAUUUCCAGUGAAUUUAAAUCCUCAUGUCUAUGCAGUAGGGCUGCGUCGUGCUCUGGCUCAUUAAUUUAUUAAACAUCAACGGUGAUGCAGUUCUUUGAUCCUCUUAAAAAUUAACCACCUACGCCUGUAUCUUAACCAGUUCUUGAGCCAUGGAAAUAUAACCUCUCUCCUGGACACUUCAGCUCAUCAACAAACCCUUGCCAGCGCCUUUUCCUGAGAAAUUUUCAAAUAUCAUAUGAUUUAUAUGAGAUAAAAUACUUCACUACAAUGCCCCACAGCCCCUAAAACCAGAUGGUCCAGGCAGAGUUCACUGCUGAACUUUGUUCCCCUGGAGAUGGGAGCUUCCCUCCCUGGAAGGAGCCCUUCCAAAAGCCUCCUCCGAGUUGCUAAGAAACAGCUUGUCACUGUGGCAUGGGCUGUAAUCGGUUGUGUACAGAUGCAGAAUGAAAGCCCUUUGGACAGAGAAGCAAUGGCACAAAUUCUGUGAGAAAUCACCUGAAGAUGCUACAUACCCAUGUCCUCUGAGGAGCCCUGGUGGACACAGUGGUGUUGGAGGAGACACUGAAGCAGUCGGUAAAAGUGUGGUAUAAUUUUUCAGGUUUGCAUCUCACCCUUUGACUCCUUCCUCUGUGAGAAGAAACAGAAGGAAGGACAGUUAAAAUAUUUUUUUUUUCCCACAUGGAAGAAGUUAAAUCCCAUGUGGGAAUAUAGAGGGGAACAUAAUGGUUCAAAAUGUGGUGUUGAGAAUGAGGUUGACUCCAUGCAUAAAGCAGAGGCUUCAUGGGGAGGAGAGGGGAGGUGUCUGCU